AGAGGGGGCCUUUCAGGCAUCCUCUCCCAAACUUUUCAAGGCUGGCCUUCGGGCCGGCCUUUCUUUUUGCGCAAC
rnacentral:sRNA from 23 species